rnacentral:rRNA from 1 species
UACGAAGGGGGCUAGCGUUGUUCGGAUUCACUGGGCGUAAAGGGUGCGCAGGCGGCUACGUGUGUCAGGUGUGAAAUCCCGGGGCUCAACCCCGGAACUGCGCCCGAAACUACGUAGCUAGAGUAUUGGAGAGGGUAGUGAAUUCACGGUGUAGCAGUGAAAUGCGUAGAUAUCGUGAGGAACACCUGAGGCGAAGGCGACUACCUGGACAAUAACUGACGCUCAGGCACGAAAGCGUGGGGA